CGGCUUGGAUCUACUGUCUUGUGUUCUAGCUUCCAUUUCGCACACGUAGGUUGUGCUGUUCUGGUGGUGGACAGCAGCUCGAUCCGGGCAGAGAGGAGGCUCUGUUCCUUUUGAUUGAGUGCUGUGGAUUAGUAUGCAUGGUUGUGAGCUAGAGGUACUAUCUUGUGGAUGUGAUCUUAGGUUCCAACAGCAGCUACCCUAACCGGCAGCUACACCUUUGGUUGUGAUCUAUUGGUGAUCACCUUGGAUUCGAGGAGUCUGAUUUGAGACAGGCGUCUCGACGUUGACUUCGGAUUUGGAUUGUACCUUCUA